rnacentral:tRNA from 1 species
GGUCUUAUAUUCAUUAAUUAUGAUUCUAGAUUGCAAUUCUAGAGGUGUAAAAUUUUACUAAGGCCU